rnacentral:rRNA from 1 species
AGUCGAGCGGUAGAGAGGAGCUUGCUUCUCUUGAGAGCGGCGGACGGGUGAGUAAUGCCUAGGAAUCUGCCUGGUGGUGGGGGAUAACGUUCGGAAACGGACGCUAAUACCGCAUACGUCCUACGGGAGAAAGCGGGGGAUCUUCGGACCUCGCGCCAUUAGAUGAGCCUAGGUCGGAUUAGCUAGUUGGUGAGGUAAUGGCUCACCAAGGCGACGAUCCGUAACUGGUCUGAGAGGAUGAUCAGUCACACUGGAACUGAGACACGGUCCAGACUCCUACGGGAGGCAGCAGUGGGGAAUAUUGGACAAUGGGCGAAAGCCUGAUCCAGCCAUGCCGCGUGUGUGAAGAAGGUCUUCGGAUUGUAAAGCACUUUAAGUUGGGAGGAAGGGUUGUAGAUUAAUACUCUGCAAUUUUGACGUUACCGACAGAAUAAGCACCGGCUAACUUCGUGCCAGCAGCCGCGGUAAUACGAAGGGUGCAAGCGUUAAUCGGAAUUACUGGGCGUAAAGCGCGCGUAGGUGGUUCGUUAAGUUGGAUGUGAAAGCCCCGGGCUCAACCUGGGGAACUGCAUCCAAAACUGGCGAGCUAGAGUACGGUAGAGGGUAGUGGAAUUUCCUGUGUAGCGGUGAAAUGCGUAGAUAUAGGAAGGAACACCAGUGGGCGAAGGCGACUACCUGGACUGAUACUGACACUGAGGUGCGAAAGCGUGGGGAGCAAACAGGAUUAGAUACCCUGGGUAGUCCACGCCGGUAAACGAUGUCAACUAGCCGUUGGAAUCGUAAACGAUGUCAACUAGCCGUUGGAAUC